AGAGUUUGAUCAUGGCUCAGAAUGAACGCUGGCGGCGUGCUUAACACAUGCAAGUCGAACGAUGACUUUUGUGCUUGCACAGAAUGAUUAGUGGCGAACGGGUGAGUAACACGUGAGUAACCUGCCCCUGACUCUGGGAUAAGCCUGGGAAACUGGGUCUAAUACUGGAUAUGCACCGUAGACCGCAUGGUUUUUGGUGGAAAGAAUUUGUGGUCAGGGAUGGACUCGCGGCCUAUCAGCUUGUUGGCGAGGUAAUGGCUCACCAAGGCGACGACGGGUAGCCGGCCUGAGAGGGUGACCGGCCACACUGGGACUGAGACACGGCCCAGACUCCUACGGGAGGCAGCAGUGGGGAAUAUUGCACAAUGGGCGAAAGCCUGAUGCAGCGACGCCGCGUGAGGGAUGACGGCCUUCGGGUUGUAAACCUCUUUCAGUAGGGAAGAAGCGAAAGUGACGGUACCUGCAGAAGAAGCGCCGGCUAACUACGUGCCAGCAGCCGCGGUAAUACGUAGGGCGCAUGCGUUAUCCGGAAUUAUUGGGCGUAAAGAGCUCGUAGGCGGUUUGUCGCGUCUGCCGUGAAAGUCCGAGGCUCAACUUCGGAUCUGCGGGGGGUACGGGCAGACUAGAGUGAUGUAGGGGAGACUGGAAUUCCUGGUGUAGCGGUGAAAUGCGCAGAUAUCAGGAGGAACACCGAUGGCGAAAGCAGGUCUCUGGGCAUCUACUUGACCCUGAGGAGCGAAAGCUUGGGGAGCGAACAGGAUUAGAUACCCUGGUAGUCCAUGCCGUAAACGUUGGGCACUAGGUGUGGGGGACAUUCCACGUUUUCCGCGCCGUAGCUAACGCAUUAAGUGCCCCGCCUGGGGAGUACGGCCGCAAGGCUAAAACUCAAAGGAAUUGACGGGGGCCCGCACAAGCGGCGGAGCAUGCGGAUUAAUUCGAUGCAACGCGAAGAACCUUACCAAGGCUUGACAUGUGCUAGAUCGCCAUAGAAAUAUGGUUUCCCCUUUGGGGCUGGUUCACAGGUGGUGCAUGGUUGUCGUCAGCUCGUGUCGUGAGAUGUUGGGUUAAGUCCCGCAACGAGCGCAACCCUCGUUCUAUGUUGCCAGCACGUUAUGGUGGGGACUCAUAGGAGACUGCCGGGGUCAACUCGGAGGAAGGUGGGGACGACGUCAAAUCAUCAUGCCCCUUAUGUCUUGGGCUUCACGCAUGCUACAAUGGCCGGUACAAUGGGUUGCGAUACUGUGAGGUGGAGCUAAUCCCAAAAAGCCGGUCUCAGUUCGGAUUGGGGUCUGCAACUCGACCCCAUGAAGUCGGAGUCGCUAGUAAUCGCAGAUCAGCAACGCUGCGGUGAAUACGUUCCCGGGCCUUGUACACACCGCCCGUCAAGUCACGAAAGUUGGUAACACCCGAAGCCGGUGGCCUAACCCCUUGUGGGAGGGAGCCGUCGAAGGUGGGACUGGCGAUUGGGACUAAGUCGUAACAAGGUAAC
rnacentral:rRNA from 1 species